rnacentral:rRNA from 1 species
AGUGAACGCUGGCGGUAGGCCUAACACAUGCAAGUCGAACGGCAGCACAGUAAGAGCUUGCUCUUACGGGUGGCGAGUGGCGGACGGGUGAGGAAUACAUCGGAAUCUACUUUUUCGUGGGGGAUAACGUAGGGAAACUUACGCUAAUACCGCAUACGACCUACGGGUGAAAGCAGGGGAUCUUCGGACCUUGCGCGAUUGAAUGAGCCGAUGUCGGAUUAGCUAGUUGGCGGGGUAAAGGCCCACCAAGGCGACGAUCCGUAGCUGGUCUGAGAGGAUGGUCAGCGACACUGGAACUGGGACACGGUCCAGACUCCUGCGGGAGGCACCAGUGGGGAAUAUUGGACAAUGGGCGCAAGCCUGGUCCAGCCAUCCCGCGUGGGUGGAGAAGGCCUUCGGGUUGUAAAGCCCUUUUGUUGGGAAAGAAAAGCAGCAGGUUAAUACCCCGCUGUUCUGACGGUACCCAAAGAAUAAGCACCGGCUAACUUCGUG